UACGUAGGGGGCGAGCGUUGUCCGGAAUUAUUGGGCGUAAAGAGCUCGUAGGCGGUGUGUCGCGUCGGCCGUGAAAACCUGCAGCUUAACUGUGGGCUUGCGGUCGAUACGGGCAUCACUGGAGUUCGGCAGGGGAGACUGGAAUUCCUGGUGUAGCGGUGAAAUGCGCAGAUAUCGAGAGGAACACCUGCGGCGAAGGCGGGUAGCUGGGCCGACACUGACGCUGAGGCGCGAAAGCCAGGGGAGCGAACGGG
rnacentral:rRNA from 1 species